AGAGUUUGAUCAUGGCUCAGAACGAACGCUGGCGGCGUGCUUAACACAUGCAAGUCGAGUGCGCGUGCCGUAGCAAUACGGUAUGGCGCACGGCGCACGGGUGCGUAACACGUGGGUAACCUGCCCUUUGGUGGGGAAUAACUCCGGGAAACCGAAGCUAAUUCCGCAUAAGAUCCGCAAGGAUGAAAGCCGCAAGGCGCCGAUGGAGGGGCCCGCGCCCGAUUAGCUAGUUGGCAGGGUAACGGCCUACCAAGGCUUUGAUCGGUAGCUGGUCUGAGAGGAUGGCCAGCCACACUGGAACUGAGACACGGUCCAGACUCCUACGGGAGGCAGCAGUGGGGAAUCUUGCGCAAUGGGCGAAAGCCUGACGCAGCGACGCCGCGUGGGGGAUGAAGCUUCUCGGAGUGUAAACCCCUUUCGACCCGGACGAAUACCUCGCAAGAGGGGUGACGGUACGGGUAUAAGAAGCCCCGGCUAACUACGUGCCAGCAGCCGCGGUAAGACGUAGGGGGCCAGCGUUGUUCGGAAUUACUGGGUGUAAAGGGUCAGUAGGCGGUGUGGCAAGUCGGGAGUGAAAUCUAUGGGCUCAACUCAUAGGCUGCUUCCGAAACUGCUGUGCUUGAGUGUGGGAGAGGCGCGUGGAAUUGCAGGUGUAGCGGUGAAAUGCGUAGAUAUCUGCAGGAACACCCGUGGCGAAAGCGGCGCGCUGGACCACAACUGACGCUGAAUGACGAAAGCUAGGGGAGCAAACAGGAUUAGAUACCCUGGUAGUCCUAGCCCUAAACGAUCAGGACUUGGGGUGCCGCACGUUCGUGCGUCGUCCCGGAGCUAACGCGUUAAGUCCUGCACCUGGGGAGUACGUCGCAAGACUGAAACUCAAAGGAAUUGACGGGGCCCGCACAAGCGGUGGAACAUGUGGUUCAUUCGACGCUACGCGAGGAACCUUACCUGGGCUCGAAGCGCACUUGACAAGCUGUGGAAACACGGCCUUCCCGCAA
rnacentral:rRNA from 1 species